UACGGGGGGGGCAAGCGUUGUUCGGAAUUACUGGGCGUAAAGGGCACGUAGGCGGCUGUGUAAGUCUGUCGUGAAAGCCCGAGGCUCAACCGCGGAAUUGCGUGAAAUACUGUCUGGCUUGAGUUCGGGAGAGGAGGGUGGAAUUCCCAGUGUAGAGGUGAAAUUCGUAGAGAUUGGGAAGAACACCAGUGGCGAAGGCGGCUCACUGGCCCGUAACUGACGCUGAGGUGCGAAAGCGUGGGGAGCAAACAGG
rnacentral:rRNA from 1 species